GGGACACCGGCCCUCGUGGACUGAGAUUGCCCACCUCUGGUCUAGCGCAACACCUGGAGCUAAGAGGGCAAAACAAUCGCAUGAGUGCUGCUGUUUGACUGAGGAAGAAUAAAGGAGUCGUGUGGUUGGAGUGGUUUCCACACCUAAUCGAAUCAGUUUGGAUCACUUUGCUUCACCUGAACACCCUGACAGUAUUUACACACUGCUGUCUGACUGCAUUCAGCUGACACUGAGAUGAAGCAGAAAAGAAGCAGCUGGUGAAGGUAGAAAGUGUGUGUGAGCUGAUGUGGAUGUGAAUUCAGCAGCAUGGAUCAGUGUGAGGACAGAGAGGAGGGAGUCCCUCCCUCUAAAACCACUCUGUGUGGGGAACAUGAGAGCCAGACCAAAGCUCAGAGUUCAGAGCAGCGGUACGCACUGUAUUCUGCCAGACCUGGGCCCAGCUGCAGAUCCCUAACGACUGACUUGUACUUGGAGUUACACGUGUUUUUUACUCGAAAGCGUCUCCCUUCCAGUUGGUCCUCCUCACUGUUUUGUGGAGUGAAUCAAGCACAAGACUGUACUAAACUUGAACCUGAAUCUAAACAUGAACUGAUGCCUGAAACAACAAGCAUACCUGAACAAGAAGCCUCUGCGACUUCAAAGUAAAAAAGACAGACGGGCUUUUAAAGGAAUGGUUGUGGGAAACUCUGGAGACUUUGGGAACUGAGGAGCUGAAAAACUUCAAGUGGUGUCUGCAAAAUGUUACUGAGUCAAAGGAUGGCUUCAAGC
ensembl:lncRNA